UAGGGAAUCUUCCGCAAUGGACGCAAGUCUGACGGAGCAACGCCGCGUGAGUGAAGAAGGAUUUCGGUUCGUAAAACUCUGUUGUUAGAGAAGAACAGCGCAUAGAGUAACUGUUAUGCGUGUGACGGUAUCUAACCAGAAAGCCACGGCUAACUACGUGCCAGCAGCCGCGGUAAUACGUAGUUGGCAAGCGUUGUCCGGAUUUAUUGGGCGUAAAGCGAGCGCAGGCGGUCAAUUAAGUCUGAUGUGAAAGCCCCCGGCUCAACCGGGGAGGGUCAUUGGAAACUGGUUGACUUGAGUGCAGAAGAGGAGAGUGGAAUUCCAUGUGUAGCGGUGAAAUGCGUAGAUAUAUGGAGGAACACCGGUGGCGAAAGCGGCUCUCUGGUCUGUAACUGACGCUGAGGCUCGAAAGCGUGGGGAGCGAACAGG
rnacentral:rRNA from 1 species